GAUUCCAUUAUGCUUGUAUAUUAUUGUUCAUUCUUGGAAUAAGUGUACAUAAGUGUUAUAUAUGUGCAUGUAUGCAUGUGUAUUUGUGAUACUGUUCAAGCAUUUUCUCAGAGACGAUCAAAAGCUGAAACUAGUCUCUAGAUGUUUUAGUUGGGACUCCCUCAAAAUAGAGCCUCAGACAAGAUUGGUAUGUGAGUCAUCUAUUCAGGAAUAAACAGGGAAGGAAGGAGAAUCAAUACAAAUAUAUGCUAUUGAGUUGGGCAUUGCAAGAAGUUUCUUAUCACUCAAUCCUUGGAGUUUUUUGUUUUUAGUUGUAGAUGGACACAAUAUCUUAUUUAUUUAUAUGUGGUGCUGAGAAUUGAACCCAGGGUCUCACACCUUCGAGGCAAGUGCUCUACCACUGAGCUACAGCCCCAGCCCAAUCCUCUGGAAUUUCUGAGAAAUCUUAUGGAAUGCUCUCAGAACUCCCUCCUGAGGAAUGGAGGACAGAAGCAUAUAUCUGCCAGCUUUUGACCUCUAUUGUCAAUUAUCACCUGGCUAGGCAUUAGCUCUGUAGUUAACAUGCAUCGAUGUGCAAUGUUUCCUAGAGGAGUCUCCUGUUGCGUAGUUAAAGCAGCCCUGAGGCAAAACUGAGAUGGUUUGGGAUAUAGAGUAUAAGUUUGAGGCAAGGUUCUGACAAGUUAUAUUUGACAACCACUACUAAAUAGUUUACUGAGGUAAACCAUUGCUGUAAGUAUGGUUCUAAGCGUUUAAGACCAAAAGUAUUUGAAGUAGUGCUUAAGAGAUGUUCAACACCCUAGGAUAGAAGGAUGUAAGGCCUGGUCCUUACCAUACUGGAGUUGGUGUGAAGAGACUGGGAAUAAUCUGGGUUUAGAGGGGUUUGUAGUAGGCUACAACAUAGAUUACCCAUAUAUAGUGUUAUUUAAUAUUGAAUGACCCAGAUAUUGUAAAGUAUACCAAUGUCAAUCUGUUGAGUCAUGAUAGAUUAUAUCCUUGUGGAUAGAAAUAAAUAUUCCUAUUUCAUGGUGAUCAGCAACUGAAGGAAAAAUUUAUCAAGCUCUCAGGGAAACUUUUGAAAGCCCAUUUCAUUGACUUGAGGUUAGACAGUAGCACCCCAACACCCACCUCCAACUCUGAGACUAUGAAAACUAACAGUCUCUCCCAAGAAAAUUUCCUCACACAUCUUUGAUCCUU
rnacentral:lncRNA from 1 species